rnacentral:rRNA from 1 species
AUUGAACGCUGGCGGCAUGCUUUACACAUGCAAGUCGAACGGUAACAGGCCGCAAGGUGCUGACGAGUGGCGAACGGGUGAGUAAUGCAUCGGAACGUGCCCAGUCGUGGGGGAUAACUACUCGAAAGAGUAGCUAAUACCGCAUACGAUCUAUGGAUGAAAGCGGGGGACCGUAAGGCCUCGCGCGAUUGGAGCGGCCGAUGUCAGAUUAGGUAGUUGGUGGGGUAAAGGCUCACCAAGCCAACGAUCUGUAGCUGGUCUGAGAGGACAACCAGCCACACUGGGACUGAGACACGGCCCAGACUCCUACGGGAGGCAGCAGUGGGGAAUUUUGGACAAUGGGCGCAAGUCUGAUCCAGCAAUGCCGCGUGCAGGAAGAAGGCCUUCGGGUUGUAAACUGCUUUUGUACGGAACGAAACGGCUCUGGUUAAUACCCGGGGCUAAUGACGGUACCGUAAGAAUAAGCACCGGCUAACUACGUG